AUGUCGCUCCUCCGCAACAGCCCGUGCGUGCUGCAGGUCGUGCCGGACACCGUGUUCCAGCUCCACACCAUGCGCAUCCCGGAGUUCUCGGGGCUGCUCUCCCUGGCUUACCAGCCGGCCAUACACAACCUUAACACUGCCUUCCACGGUGUGGUCAUACGGGUUCUUCGCAUCGGCGUCUGGCCGGAGUUACCAAGUUUCACGAGCGGCUUAGGACAAAGACGGGUAUGGGAUGCACAUGGCGACUACUACAGCGGGCGCGACGAGAUUCACGGCGAGGUCGCCACGGGCAUGGGAGAUAGCACGGGCGAGAUUCGCAACGAGGUCGCGGACGAAGCCCGAGGUCGUCGCCGUUGA
rnacentral:rRNA from 1 species